rnacentral:rRNA from 1 species
UCAUGGCUCAGGAUGAACGCUAGCGGCAGGCCUAACACAUGCAAGUCGAACGGUAACAUAGAUUGCUUGCAAUCUGAUGACGAGUGGCGCACGGGUGCGUAACGCGUAUGCAAUCUACCUUUUACAGGAGAAUAGCCCAGAGAAAUUUGGAAUAAUGCUCCAUAAUAUCAUGUAUCAGCAUUGAUUUAUGAUUAAAGCUCCGGCGGUAAAAGAUGAGCAUGCGUUCUAUUAGCUAGUAGGUGAGGUAACGGCUCACCUAGGCUACGAUAGAUAGGGGCCCUGAGAGGGGGAUCCCCCACACUGGUACUGAGACACGGACCAGACUCCUACGGGAGGCAGCAGUGAGGAAUAUUGGAC